UAGGGAAUCUUCCACAAUGGACGAAAGUCUGAUGGAGCAACGCCGCGUGAGUGAAGAAGGGUUUCGGCUCGUAAAACUCUGUUGUUAAAGAAGAACAUAUCUGAGAGUAACUGUUCAGGUAUUGACGGUAUUUAACCAGAAAGCCACGGCUAACUACAUGCCGG
rnacentral:rRNA from 1 species